rnacentral:misc_RNA from 1 species
AUUUGCUCAACUUUCCCAACUUGAUCUGUUGGGUGCCUACUCCGCGUGGAGCUGGAAUCUGACCCACUUGUUUCCACAUUCUGAGUCUCAAUAUCCUUCAUCUCUAUAGAUGUAGCUAUAAAUCUUUCGUGUUCUAUCAUUUCACCUUUUGUCCCAGCCUCACCUGAUUGACCUGCGUCAUUGGUCCUGGAAUUGAGUUGGUUCAAUCUUUGCAGAGAUGAAUUAUCCAGUAUGUCCUCUCUAGAGUUUGCACUUCUAUUGUUAAGAUCCAGGGAUACUUCCCUGAGUUGAGGGGGCAAG